UGGGAAGUGAGGAGCCCCUCUGCCCGGC
rnacentral:piRNA from 1 species